UACAGAGGGUGUGAGCGUUGUCCGGAAUCACUGGGCGUAAAGGGCGCGUAGGUGGCCUGAUAAGUAGGGGGUGAAAUCUCGAGGCUCAACUUCGAGGCUGCCUUCUAAACUGUCGGGCUUGAGCAGAGUAGGGGCAGGUGGAAUUCCCGGUGUAGCGGUGGAAUGCGUAGAGAUCGGGAAGAACAUCGGUGGCGAAGGCGGCCUGCUGGGCUCUUGCUGACACUGAGGCGCGACAGCGUGGGGAGCGAACAGG
rnacentral:rRNA from 1 species